UACUAAUGUAGGACUGCAUUUAAUUGCAUUUCUUUGCCCACCUCCAGUUUUCUCAGGUUGUUUGUCUUGGUCAUUUAAUUUUAGGAAUCCCUGACAAUCAACUUUGAAAGUAAAGAAAGUUUGAAAAAUGAUGAAGUGACUUCAAGUACAGGAAUGACUCUUCCCACAGGUGUUUCAACCUUUCUCCUAGAGUGUUUAGAUGUAGACUCAAGUGCAGAUUAUAACACAGGUGCUAGUGUCAGCCUGAACAGUUUCUCAUCCCCCGAGACGUUCAGAGAUGAUGAUUCAGAAGAAAGAAGUAAUUUUCACCCUGAGAACAAGAACUCAACUCUCCUGGACUCCAGCAAAGCAGUGGCCAUAGAUAAGAUACCACAGAUCUCAAAUCUUUCAGCAAUAUUAGGUAAUUCUUUUCUGCAAUACUUAAGAAUAUAUAUAUAUGAAGAAAUUUCACUCUAG
rnacentral:lncRNA from 1 species